rnacentral:lncRNA from 1 species
GCAUAGAACUUUGUACGAGGCUACUGCUUUAGGUAAUGUCCAUCUGAAGGUGCUGGUAACAUUUCUAAAAUCUCAACGAAGUACUAAUUAAGGGAAAACUAGGAGUUAGAAAAGAAAAAAAAGGUCCUCAAAUCCUUUGAAUCACCUUUCAAAUCCUGGUAUGAAUUUUCCAUGUCAACUGUUACAGUUUUUUCAGGGCAAAGACGCCUCCCUUGUACAGCUUAUCCCCACCUUCUGCUGGUGAGUGGUUGAGAUUCAUAGCUGAUGGCCUUGUCAUAUCAUCCAUCGUUUUGGAAGCCACUACUGUCUCGGCAUUCCAAUACCAGGGUUGAAGGUAAGGUGAAGAAAUAGAUGGAGAAUAUGAAGAGGGAUGUAGCAUUAUUGAUCCCCAGUCUCUUUCUCCAGGCUUUGGUUCCUUUAUCCUCCUCCUGAUUAACAAGCUUCCCACGUCUUCUUUUUUCAUUUCCGAUAUGCUUCUCAAUACUGAUAAGCAGAUAAGAAGUACAAAAACUGCAUCUUCUUCAGGCAGUACCUCCACUGCCGGUAGCUUCCAAUUUAGAAGAGCAGUUGCUUUUCCAGUUGGCAACUCCUCUGAGAACCGGACCAGUGUUAUAAAUCCAUCUUCUUCUUCUUCUUCUUCUUCUACUUCUUCGUCAUCCGUAUCGUUUGGUUUUUUGCAGAUAGAAGAGUCUGAGGCUGAUGAUGACUUCUUGACUUGAUACUGCAUCUUCCUCCCUUUCAGCAACCUUACCUAGAGUACACAGUUGUGAUUUGUUAUUUUGCAUCGUUUGAUAAAUGCAUGUUCUAGAAAAUUGAUCUUCAAAAAUAGGGAAUAAAACUGUAGGCUGUACCAUCCUGUCAGUAGGUUCCUUGUUUCUUAUGACAAAAUUGAAGCCUGAACUGGAUGUUGG